rnacentral:piRNA from 1 species
UAUUUAUGUUCUUUAAGGGAUUAAAAAAAA